GACGAACGCUGGCGGCGUGCCUAAUACAUGCAAGUAGAACGCUGAGGGAGGAGCUUGCUUCUCUGGAUGAGUUGCGAACGGGUGAGUAACGCGUAGGUAACCUGCCUGGUAGCGGGGGAUAACUAUUGGAAACGAUAGCUAAUACCGCAUAAGAGUAGAUGUUGCAUGACAUUUGCUUAAAAGGUGCAAUUGCAUCACUACCAGAUGGACCUGCGUUGUAUUAGCUAGUUGGUGGGGUAACGGCUUACCAAGGCGACGAUACAUAGCCGACCUGAGAGGGUGAUCGGCCACACUGGGACUGAGACACGGCCCAGACUCCUACGGGAGGCAGCAGUAGGGAAUCUUCGGCAAUGGACGGAAGUCUGACCGAGCAACGCCGCGUGAGUGAAGAAGGUUUUCGGAUCGUAAAGCUCUGUUGUAAGAGAAGAACGAGUGUGAGAGUGGAAAGUUCACACUGUGACGGUAUCUUACCAGAAAGGGACGGCUAACUACGUG
rnacentral:rRNA from 1 species